UUGACCCUCUCCAUUUCUCCUCGCUCUCUCUCGCUGAAGCGCACAGCACGCACACGAUUCCCCUCACCGUACGCCUCCAGCGAUGUGGUCGCCACUCUGUGAUUCCGGUCGGUCGCCGGCCGUCUCCGUCGCCGCAGCUCACUUUCGAGGCUUCUCCGCCCUCUCAUCCUUCUUCUCCAUCAAAUCCUCCUCGACGCGACGCCCCUGUCGCCCGCACCCUUGCCCCAAACUAACCCUAGCUGUCUACAGUUCCAGCCAUCGCCGGCCGAUUCCGGCGUCGCCGUCCGUCGGCGUGACUCCUCCAUAAACUCUCCACUGUAUCUCCUUCACGGCGCCGCCUCCCUGCACCCGCUUGCGCCCCUGCGGCUAACCCUAGUUUGGCCUGGCUCGGUCGCCGGCGUGAUGCCGCACGCCGGUGCGCCCCCUGGUCUUCUACCUUUACCCAGACGCCGGCGGGAUGGUACUGCAGGUCUGCAACCCCGGCGUCCGUGUACUGGUGCUGGUGAUGCUGCGAUGUCAGCUCUGGUGGUGCUGUGGUUGAGGUGAUGCUGCUGCUGGUGGCAUGGUGAUGGUGCUCUGCUGCUGCUACUACCCCCUCGACCUUGACGCCGGCGGGACGGUGCCGCGGACGCAACCCCGGCGUCAACUUCUACUUCUAGUGCUGCAAUUGCAAUGAAAAGAAGACGUUGGAGAAUUGGAGAAGAGCAAGAUUAGUUUAGGUUUUCUUUUUAUUAUCUUAUUUUGUAAUCUUUUAUUUGUUUUUGUAACUUGAAAUAAUAAUUCUGUAAAGGUUGUACAGUUCCAAUAGAUGGAUGCUAUGUUUAAUGUUUAGUUCUUGAUUGCACAUUCUUAUUAUAA